AACGCGAAGAACCUUACCUGGAUUUGACAUGUAUUUGACAGCCACAGAGAUGUGGUGUUCUCGCAAGAGACAGAUACACAGGUGCUGCAUGGCUGUCGUCAGCUCGUGCCGUGAGGUGUUGGGUUAAGUCCCGCAACGAGCGCAACCCUUGUCGUUAGUUGCCAGCGAGUAAUGUCGGGCACUCUAGCGAGACUGCCUGGGUUAACCAGGAGGAAGGUGAGGAUGACGUCAAGUCCGCAUGGCCUUUAUAUCCAGGGCUACACACGUGCUACAAUGGCCGGUACAGAAGGCAGCAAAACCGUGAGGUGGAGCAAAUCCCGAAAGCCGGCCCCAGUUCAGAUUGGAGUCUGCAACUCGACUCCAUGAAGAUGGAAUUGCUAGUAAUGGCGAGUCAGCAACAUCGCCGUGAAUACGUUCCCGGGCCUUGUA
rnacentral:rRNA from 1 species